UACGGAAGGCAGCAGUGGGGAAUAUUGCACAAUGGGCGAAAGCCUGAUGCAGCUAUGCCGCGUGUAUGAAGAAGGCCUUAGGGUUGUAAAGUACUUUCAUCGGGGAGGAAAAAACAAAACUAAUAAUUUUAUUUCUUGACGUUACCCGAAAAAGAAGCACCGGCUAACUCCGUGCCAGCAGCCGCGGUAAUACGGAGGGUGCUAGCGUUAAUCAGAAUUACUGGGCGUAAAGAGCACGUAGGUGGUUUUUUUAAAGUCAGAUGUGAAAUCCCUGGGCUUAACCUAGGAACUGCAUUUUGAAACUGAAAUACUAGAGUAUCGUAGAGGGAGGUAGAAUUCUAGGUGUAGCGGUGAAAUGCGUAGAUAUCUGGAGGAAUACCUGUGGCGAAAGCGGCCUCCUAAACGAAUACUGACACUGAGGGUGCGAAAGCGUGGGGAGCAAACAGGAUUAGAUACC
rnacentral:rRNA from 1 species